rnacentral:rRNA from 1 species
CUCGUAGGCGGUUCGGUAAGUCGGGUGUGAAAACUCUGGGCUCAACCCAGAGAGGCCACCCGAUACUGCCGUGACUGGAGUGCGGCAGGGGAGUGGGGAAUUCCUGGUGUAGCGGUGAAAUGCGCAGAUAUCAGGAGGAACACCAGUGGCGAAGGCGCCACUCUGGGCCGUAACUGACGCUGAGGAGCGAAAGCGUGGGUAGCAAACA